CCUACGGGAGGCAGCAGUGGGGAAUAUUGGACAAUGGGGGCAACCCUGAUCCAGCAAUGCCGCGUGUGUGAAGAAGGCCUGAGGGUUGUAAAGCACUUUCAGUGGGGAGGAGGGUUGUUUGGUUAAGAGCUGAAUGAUUGGACGUUACCCACAGAAGAAGCACCGGCUAACUCCGUGCCAGCAGCCGCGGUAAUACGGAGGGUGCAAGCGUUAAUCGGAAUUACUGGGCGUAAAGGGUGCGUAGGUGGUUAGAUAAGUUAUCUGUAAAAUCCCUGGGCUUAACCUGGGCAGGUCAGAUAAGACUGUUUGACUCGAGUAUGGGAGAGGGUAGUGGAAUUUCCGGUGUAGCGGUGAAAUGCGUAGAGAUCGGAAGGAACACCAGUGGCGAAGGCGGCUACCUGGCCUAAUACUGACACUGAGGCACGAAAGCGUGGGGAGCAAACAGGAUUAGACUACCCUGGUACGUCCGACGACCGUAACGAGUAGUCACUAGCUGUUGUCGAUAUUAAUAGUGUAUUAGUGGUCGCGAGCAACGACGAGUAGUA
rnacentral:rRNA from 1 species